rnacentral:lncRNA from 1 species
AUUGCAAAUAUCUAGCCUUAUCUCUAGGGUGUAAUUUUAUAUGCUUAACUAAACUACCCGUGCCGCUACGAUCUCCAGUAUACCUAUGAACAAGUUUCCCACAAGAUUUACACCUAGCCUUAUUUUGUUCUCUCAGUUGAAUAAAAAAUUGCCAAACUAAUGAUGUUUCUGUACGUUUGGGAGGUCUACUAAAAGUGGGAGUUUGUACGUGUGGGUGUGCCGAUUCAUCACCUAAGUUAUGAGCAGGACUAGUAGGUGUAUCAUCUAAAUCUUGUGCUUGGGUUUCAUCAACCUCAUUUCCCUCUAAGAUCGGUGCAUUAGGAUAAAGAGCAUUCAUAAUAUC